AAGCCAACAAUCUUCUCCAGUUGGAGCAGUUGGACGGUCAACCACUGAAAACCCUGACUUCCUACACUUUGGUGAAGCCCAAUAGACAAAGACCAUCGACUGUCUGAGCUCCUCCAGAGCCAGUGAUUUCGGAUCAGUCUGAUUCUCUGUGCUCUGAGUUGGAGGGGGACCAGCUUGAGGACCUAGGGGUUCUGCCCAACACCCAGACAUGGAUCCACCUGAUGUCCUCCAUUACCAACCACCCCCCAACUUUUCAUUACAUCAUCUGCAGCUACUGUUACUGGCAUGUUGUCACUAUCUGCUAAGAAAGUUUUCUUGCUCUAUCAUACUGGGCACAUAAAAUGUGAGAUACACAGAUUAACUAAAACACUAGCACUGCAAACACUCAGAACAAAGAGAGCAGUAGUGCCUGGACUUUGCAGUCUCCCUCUUCAAGUCCCCCUUCUGAGACUGGCUGCCUGUUGAGAACAAGUGACAGGAAGAACCUCCCACCCAAAAAGCAACAACCUCUAUAUCCAACACAACAGA